rnacentral:lncRNA from 1 species
UGGAUGGGAGGGGGCUAUUCCAGAAGUUGGAACUAGCAAAGCAUGGGAUUUUUGCAACCAUACUACAUUUCAACAGCCUGAGCGGUUUAUGGCAUCCUUUCAAGGCAGUCAAAUGACUCCUCCAUGGAACCAUUUAGCCUGAUAAUGGUGGUGAGAUAUGAUAAUGUAAAAAUGGACAGGAGAGCGAUGUAAAUCACUUUGCAGAAGAUUGCAGCUUGCUUAAUAUUUUGUACAGAAUGCUCUAGUUGA